rnacentral:rRNA from 1 species
GACGAACGCUGGCGGCGUGCUUAACACAUGCAAGUCGAGCGGUAAGGCCCUUUCGGGGGUACACGAGCGGCGAACGGGUGAGUAACACGUGGGUGACCUGCCCUCAGCUCUGGGAUAAGCCCGGGAAACUGGGUCUAAUACUGGAUAUGACUCCACGGUGCAUGCCGUGGGGUGGAAAGCCUUGUGCGGCUGAGGAUGGGCCCGCGGCCUAUCAGCUUGUUGGUGGGGUGAUGGCCUACCAAGGCGACGACGGGUAGCCGGCCUGAGAGGCGACCGGCCACACUGGGACUGAGACACGGCCCAGACUCCUACGGGAGGCAGCAGUGGGGAAUCUUGCGCAAUGGGCGAAAGCCUGACGCAGCGACGCCGCGUGAGGGAUGACGGCCU